UUCCUACGGGAGGCAGCAGUGGGGAAUUUUGGACAAUGGGGGCAACCCUGAUCCAGCAAUGCCGCGUGUGUGAAGAAGGCCUUCGGGUUGUAAAGCACUUUUGUCCGGAAAGAAAACGCCGUGGUUAAUACCCGUGGCGGAUGACGGUACCGGAAGAAUAAGCACCGGCUAACUACGUGCCAGCAGCCGCGGUAAUACGUAGGGUGCAAGCGUUAAUCGGAAUUACUGGGCGUAAAGCGUGCGCAGGCGGUCCGCUAAGACAGAUGUGAAAUCCCCGGGCUUAACCUGGGAACUGCAUUUGUGACUGGCGGGCUAGAGUAUGGCAGAGGGGGGUAGAAUUCCACGUGUAGCAGUGAAAUGCGUAGAGAUGUGGAGGAAUACCGAUGGCGAAGGCAGCCCCCUGGGCCAAUACUGACGCUCAUGCACGAAAGCGUGGGGAGCAAACAGGAUUAGAUACCCUGGUAGUCC
rnacentral:rRNA from 1 species